CCUACGGGAGGCAGCAGUGGGGAAUAUUGGACAAUGGGGGAAACCCUGAUCCAGCGACGCCGCGUGAGUGAAGAAGUAUUUCGGUACGUAAAGCUCCAUCAGCAGGAAAGAAAAUGACGGUACCUGACUACGAAGCCCCGGCUAACUACGUGCCAGCAGCCGCGGUAAUACGGAGGGGGCAAGCGUUAUCCGGAUUUACUGGGUGUAAAGGGAGCGUAGACGGCAGCGCAAGUCUGGAGUGAAAUGCCUGGGCCCAACCCCGGAACUGCUGUGGAAACUGUGAAGCUGGAGUGCAGGAGAGGUAAGCGGAAUGCCUGGUGUAGCGGUGAAAUGCGUAGAUAUCAGGAGGAACACCGGCGGCGAAGGCGGCUUACUGGACUGUAACUGACGUUGAGGCUCGAAGGCGUGGGGAGCAAACAGGAUUAGAUACCCGAGUAGUC
rnacentral:rRNA from 1 species